rnacentral:rRNA from 1 species
CGUCCUAUUAGCUAGUUGGUGAGGUAAUGGCUCACCAAGGCUACGAUGGGUAGGGGUUCUUAGUGGAAGGUCCCCCACACUGGCACUGAGAUACGGGCCAGACUCCUACGGGAGGCAGCAGUAGGGAAUAUUGGUCAAUGGGCGCAAGCCUGAACCAGCCAUGCCGCGUGCAGGAUGAAGGCUCUCUGAGUUGUAAACUGCUUUUGUACAGGGGCAAAAAAAUCCCUGCGGGGGUUCUUGAGAGUACUGUAAGAAUAAGCACCGGCUAAUUCCGUGCCAGCAGCCGCGGUAAUACGGGAGGUGCAAGCGUUAUCCGGUUUUAUUGGGUUUAAAGGGUGCGUAGGCGGCUUAUUAAGUCAGUUGUGAAAUCCUAGUGCUUAACGCUAGAACUGCGAUUGAUACUAUU